rnacentral:rRNA from 1 species
AGCGAACGCUGGCGGCGUGCCUAACACAUGCAAGUCGAACGGAUCCGGGGGGCAACCCCCGGAUCAGUGGCGAACGGGUGAGUAACACGUGGGUCAUCUCCCCCCGAGUGAGGAAUAAGCCUGCGAAAGUGGGUCUAAUACCCCAUGACGCUUCGGGACAUAAGUCUUCGAAACCAAAGCCGUAAGGCGCUUGGGGAUGAGCCUGCGUCCUAUUAGCUAGUUGGUAGGGUAAUGGCCUACCAAGGCGAUGAUGGGUAGCCGGCCUGAGAGGGUGAUCGGCCACACUGGGACUGAGACACGGCCCAGACUCCUACGGGAGGCUG